rnacentral:rRNA from 1 species
CGCGUCUUAAGCAUGCAAGUCGAACGGUAAGGGAGAGCUUGCUCUCCCCUAGAGUGGCGGACUGGUGAGUAACGCGUGGGUGACCUGCCCUGAAGAUGGGGAUAGCUAGUAGAAAUAUUAGAUAAUACCGAAUGUGCUCAUUUACAUAAAGGUAAAUGAGGAAAGGAGCUACGGCUCCGCUUCAGGAUGGGCCCGCGUCCCAUUAGCUGGUUGGUGAGGUAAAGGCCCACCAAGGCAACGAUGGGUAUCCGGCCUGAGAGGGUGAACGGACACAUUGGGACUGAGAUACGGCCCAAACUCCUACGGGAGGCAGCAGCUAAGAAUCUUCCGCAAUGGACGAAAGUCUGACGGAGCGACGCCGUGUGAAUGAAGAAGGCCGAAAGGUUGUAAAAUUCUUUUGCAGAUGAAGAAUAAGAAGAAGAGGGAAUGCUUCUUUGAUGACGGUAGUCAUGCGAAUAAGCCCCGGCUAAUUACGUGCCAGCAGCCGCGGUAACACGUAAGGGGCGAGCGUUGUUCGGAAUUAUUGGGCGUAAAGGGUAUGUAGGCGGUUAGGUAAGCCUGGUGUGAAAUCUACGAGCUCAACUCGUAAACUGCAUUGGGUACUGCUUGACUUGAAUCACGGAGGGGAAACCGGAAUUCCAAGUGUAGGGGUGGAAUCUGUAGAUAUUUGGAAGAACACCGGUGGCGAAGGCGGGUUUCUGGCCGAUAAUUGACGCUGAGAUGCGAAAGUGUGGGGAUCGAACAGGAUUAGAUACCCUGGUAGUCCACACUGUAAACGAUGUACACUAGGUGUUGGGGCAAGAGCUUCAGUGCCAAAGCAAACGCGAUAAGUGUACCGCCUGGGGAGUAUGCCCGCAAGGGUGAAACUCA